rnacentral:rRNA from 1 species
UACGUAGGGUGCGAGCGUUAAUCGGAAUUACUGGGCGUAAAGUGUGCGCAGGCGGCGUCGCAAGUCGAGUGUGAAAGCCCCGGGCUUAACUUGGGAAUUGCGCUCGAAACUAUGAUGCUGGAGUGUGGCAGAGGAAGGUGGAAUUCCAGGUGUAGCGGUGAAAUGCGUAGAGAUCUGGAGGAACACCGAUGGCGAAGGCAGCCUUCUGGGCCAACACUGACGCUCAUGCACGAAAGCGUGGGGAGCAAACAGG